CUCGUAAAGUGAUGCAGAUUUUUUAUUCUAUUUCUUUUUGGUACUUGUCACAAUUGGGUGUCCAUCGCGAUGAUAUCGCUACACUACUGCGAAGAGGAAAACUUUCCCAGAGCCUCAGCAAGCCUCCACAUAGGAUUGCAUGCUCAGGUUUCGAGAAAAUUAAGAAAUGAACCAAAUCGCUAAAAAGACCACCUUAGAAUUAAUAAGUAUACAGAAUUUGAAGACGUUUACAUGAAUGCUCUUCGAAUAUAAGUUUUCAAAAACUGUGACUGAAUUACUGAUUAAAAGAUUGUUUUGGGGAUGCGCGCCCCCAAAAACAGAAAUACAUGUCCGAA